rnacentral:rRNA from 1 species
UACAGAGGGUGCGAGCGUUGUCCGGAAUCAUUGGGCGUAAAGAGCGUGUAGGCGGCCAGAUAGGUCUGCUGUGAAAACUCGAGGCUCAACCUCGAGAUGUCGGCGGAAACCAUUUGGCUAGAGUCCGGAAGAGGAAAGUGGAAUUCCUGGUGUAGCGGUGAAAUGCGCAGAUAUCAGGAAGAACACCCGUGGCGAAGGCGGCUUUCUGGGACGGUACUGACGCUGAGACGCGAAAGCGUGGGGAGCAAACAGG